rnacentral:tRNA from 1 species
GCCGGGAUGGCGGAAUUGGCAGACGCGCAUGGUUGAGGGCCAUGUGGGAGUAAAAUCCCGUGCAGGUUCGACUCCUGUUCCCGGCACCA